ACUUUCGGACGAGGACAGGACGCCUCACGGCGACUUGACCAUGGGAAGUUAUUUAAACCUCAUCAUUUAGAGGAAGGUGAAGUCGUAACAAGGUUUCCGUAGGUGAACCUGCGGAAGGAUCAUUA
rnacentral:rRNA from 1 species